GAGUAAAAGUUGUAUUGAACGGGCAACGUUAGUGACACUGAGGUUUCUACUCGGCUCUCUGGUGAGGAGUUGAGCUAGCCUCGUGUGAGCUAGCGGGUAGCUACUUUUGAAUUCGAGGCAUAGUGUUCUGCAGUUCUGUGUCGCCUUGGACGUCAAGAGUAAGUUAACUUAGCUAUCUGAUGGUUAAGUGUCUUCACGUUUCUUUAACAUCGUCGAUGUAACGUAGGUUGUCGGUUUCUGUGUUGAAGGAGCCAACAUUAGCUUACUUUACCACAUGUUAGCUCAGGCAAUGUGUAGCUAACAUUCGUGUUAUAGGUUCAUUAGUGGCAGGUGGGUUAAGACACCUGAGGGGUCACGUGCUACGCACUUCAUCUAAUAACGACCAUUUUAUUGAAGUGCUUUGAAACUGGUUCCAAGCAGACAUGUAUAGACAAGCUCACAUAUACCGGAGCGGUCAGUCCGGACAGUCACGUGACCAGACACGUUAUUGUACAGACAUUGUCAUCCAAUUUGGAUGGAACAACUUCGUGACCUUAAUGACACCCAGCAACACGAGACGCACACAAGCACCACAGGGGAGGAUCUGCAGCAAAGGGCCCACCGGAAAUCAAACCUUGGCCGCUAUGAUGACGACAACAACAUGGGGCACUUGAGUGUGUGACUACGACUACCAGCAUGAACCUCAACACCUUCUUUGCUGUUCCACUAGUGUGACCCAUGAUCGGAUACAAGUUGUCAAGGAUAAACGGUGAGAGAAUCAUGUCAGCCCACAGACAACCGGUUGACCUGUGAGUCUUCAAGCAGUAAUGAUGACUACGCCUGCCUUAAGUUCCAGUUUCCUGAACAUCAUGUCAUGUCUGCAGGAUAUUCGGUCCCCACCUGUCUUCAGUCUGGACCUAAUGACUCAGACACCAGUCUUGUCGAGGCUAAAUCGAGAGAGGAUCACCUGAUGUCAACAUACGAGUUUUGAAGAAGAACUUCCUGAACUUUGUGUCCGUGUGAGACUCUACCAUGCUGGGUGCCCUCUUCAGUGAAGUCUGGACACAGCGACUCAUUGCUCUUAAUCAACUCUGGGCAAGUGGCUAAUCUUUUGCUUAUUCAUGGGAUAUCCUUCAUGUCCACAUCCUGUUUCUUCAAGAUCUCAACAAUGCUUUGUGAGUAUACAACACAUGUGAGUGGAUCAGUUCAACCUGUUUUUCACAGAAUGUUAGUUUCUUAAGGUUUUCAUCAACGAUGGUUUGUAUCUUGUUUUCCAAAAGGUGUUAUUAAGAUAUUUCCAUUUGUAAUUUACAAUAAUCAAAUGUUGACUGUAAAAUCUAUGCCAACCUAUUGUUAUACACUGUACCAUGUUUUUGCAAAGGAAUUCUGGUGACUUUAAUUGCCAGCAACUUCCUUUGAACUUUGUAAUAAAAUACCGUAACUGUAAAAGUUUACAGUAUAACUGUUGUUUUUACAAAACUUACUGUCAUGUCUCGUAUGUUCACCGUUAAUUGGAACUUUUCAAUAAAGUACCAUAAUAUAUUA